rnacentral:lncRNA from 1 species
GCCCAGGAUUUUUCUCCGCUGAAGUCAAGGCAAAGUUCGGCUCCCAUGGGAGUCCGGACGGAACCCUCCUGUGGUUGGAGUCGUGGGCGGAGCCCGACUCCCGUAGGAGUCCGGAUGGAGUCUUCCUUGGCGUCGUGGAUGGAGCCCGGCUCCCGUAGGAGUCUGGGUGGAUCUUCUUUGGCAUCGUGGACGGAGUCUGGCUCCCGUAGGAGUCCGGG